rnacentral:rRNA from 1 species
CCUACGGGGGGCAGCAGUAGGGAAUAUUGCUCAAUGGGGGAAACCCUGAAGCAACAACGCCGCGUGGAGGAUGAAGGUUUUCGGAUUGUAAACUCCUUUUGUUAGAGAAGAUAAUGACGGUAUCUAACGAAUAAGCACCGGCUAACUCCGUGCCAGCAGCCGCGGUAAUACGGAGGGUGCAAGCGUUACUCGGAAUCACUGGGCGGAAAGAGCGCGUAGGCGGGAUAGCAAGUCAGAUGUGAAAUCCUAUGGCUUAACCAUAGAACUGCAUUUGAAACUGGUAUUGUAGAGUAUGGGAGAGGUAGGUGGAAUUCUUGGUGUAGGGGUAAAAUCCGUAGAGAUCAAGAGGAAUACUCAUUGCGAAGGCGACCUGCUAGAACAUAACUGACGCUGAUGCGCGAAAGCGUGGGGAGCAAACAGGAUUAGAUACCCCAGUAGUC